UUAAAUGCAAUGACUGAGGGCGCAAGCCAAAAGUAGUUGAUAAUUUUGCUUUUUCAGAGAACGGCGCAUAUGCUGAAAGUGCCGUAUUGCUUUUAUCAAUGAAUUUCGACUCACGAGCUUCCUAUGAAAAGUAGGGCGUAUAUCUGCGUUAAGGAUUUUGAGUGGCACAUUGUUUGUGCAAUUUGAGUGGUACCACGGAUAUUAUUCGUCUCAUUU
rnacentral:ncRNA from 1 species